rnacentral:rRNA from 1 species
AUUGAACGCUGGCGGCAGGCUUAACACAUGCAAGUCGAGCGGGGGAAGGUAGCUUGCUACUGGACCUAGCGGCGGACGGGUGAGUAAUGCUUAGGAAUCUGCCUAUUAGUGGGGGACAACAUCUCGAAAGGGAUGCUAAUACCGCAUACGUCCUACGGGAGAAAGCAGGGGAUCUUCGGACCUUGCGCUAAUAGAUGAGCCUAAGUCGAAUUAGCUAGUUGGUAGGGGAAAGGCCUACCAAGGCGACGAUCUGUAGCGGGUCUGAGAGGAUGAUCCGCCACACUGGGACUGAGACACGGCCCAGACUCCUACGGGAGGCAGCAGUGGGGAAUAUUGGACAAUGGGGGGAACCCUGAUCCAGCCAUGCCGCGUGUGUGAAGAAGGCCUUAUGGUUGUAAAGCACUUUAAGCGAGGAGGAGGCUACUUUAGUUAAUACCUAGAGAUAGUGGACGUUACUCGCAGAAUAAGCACCGGCUAACUCUGUGCCAGCAGCCGCCGUAA